ensembl:snRNA U6 U6 spliceosomal RNA
GUGCUCACUUCGGCAGCACAUAUGCUGAAGUUGCAACAAUACAGAGAAGAUUAGCAUGGCCCCUUCGCAAGGAUGACAUGCAGAAUAAUAGAUACAGAGGUACCAUAC